UACGUAGGGUGCAAGCGUUGACCGGAAUUAUUGGGCGUAAAGAGCUCGUAGGCGGUUUGUCGAGUCUGCUGUGAAAACCCGAGGCUCAACCUCGGGCCUGCAGUGGGUACGGGCAGACUAGAGUGCGGUAGGGGAGAUUGGAAUUCCUGGUGUAGCGGUGGAAUGCGCAGAUAUCAGGAGGAACACCAAUGGCGAAGGCAGAUCUCUGGGCCGUAACUGACGCUGAGGAGCGAAAGCAUGGGGAGCGAACAGG
rnacentral:rRNA from 1 species